CCGAGUUUCCAACUCACAACCCACUGUGAACAUACCUUACGUUGCUUCGGCGGUCCCCCGGCUCCGGCCGCGCCGCCGAAGGCCCCAAACUCUUGUUUUUCCAAUGUGGUUAAUUCUGAGUAUUCUUGAAAUAAAUCA
rnacentral:misc_RNA from 1 species